CAUCUGGAUGCCUACCUGUGCAAGCUGCUGUAGGGAAUGGCAGGGAGGUUGGACUUGAUCUCUAGAUGUCCCUUCUAACCCCUGCAAUUCUGUGAUUCUGAGAUGUAGAAGGAAUGCUCGGGGAAAAGCAGAAAGGGUCAGGGUAGAAUUAAAUAGAUUGCAUUCCUGUAAUCUUGUCCAUUGUGGAGCCUAGAUCCUAACAGUGCAAGGAAUGUGUUGCAGGGAGUGCUCACGUUUAGGCAGCGUUAGGGGAUGUUAAAGUGCAUAUCGACUGAAUGACUAAUGAAAAUUCUCAGAAUCACUGUGCGAUUCCCAUCCUGCGUGGGAUGCUCUCCAGGAAUUACAGGUACCGCGAUGGGUACUGAGCAGAGGGAAAGAAGAGGGAAGGGCUGAACAGGUGGCACAGUAAGUCUGGAGGAUAUGCCCUCCAUCAGGGAGAGCGCACCCGCUCCCGAUGGACAGCGCUCGGAGCCCCCCCGGCACGGGGAAUUAGCUCAAAUGGUAGAGCGCUCGCUUAGCAUGCGAGAGGUAGCGGGAUCAAUGCCCGCAUUCUCCAGUGUUUUGCUAAACAUUAAGAAUUAGAAACUACAAAAAAUAUGACACUAUUUCAGUAAAAUGUUAGUUUUGUUUUAAUCAUUAGAGUCAUAGAAUUGUUCAGGUUGGAAAAGACCUUAAAGAUCAAGUCCAACCGCAACCUAACCAUACUACCCUAACUCUAAAAACCCCCCACCAAAUCAUGUCUCUGAGCACCACAUCCAAACGGUUUUUAAACACAUCCAGGGAUGGUGAGUCAACCACCUCCCUGGGGAGCCUAUUCCAGUGCUUAACAACCCUUUCUGUAAAGUUUUUCCUGAUAUCCAACCUAAACUCACCCUGGUGCAACUUGAGGCCAUUUCCCCUCGUCCUGCCACCAGUGAGAAGAGACCAACGCCGCUCUUGCUGCAAUCACUUUUCAGGUAUUUGAAGAGAGCAAUAAGGUCUCCCCUCAAGCCUCCUCUCCCCC
ensembl:lncRNA